rnacentral:lncRNA from 10 species
AAAGAAAAGGCAGAAGUGAAAUUCAAUAGUCAAACAACCCGGCACCACACCCCAGGCCUGGUAGUUAAAGAUCAACCCCUGACCUAAUCGCUUAUGUUAUAUAUAGAUUCCAGACAUUGUAUGAGGAAACAUUGUGUAACUCCCUGUUCGGUUCUGUUCUGUUCUGACCACCGGUGCAGACAGCCCCCGUCACGUAGUCCCCACUUGCACAAUGUAUCACGACCCUUUCAUGUGGACCCCUUAGAGUUGUAAGCCCUUAAAAGGGACAGGAAUCUUGACUUCAGGGAGCUUGGUUCUUGAGAUAUGAGUCUACCAAUGCUCCCAGCUAAUUAAAGCCUCUUCCUUCCUAAAACUGGUAUCCGAGAGGUUUUGUCUGUGACUGGUCCUGCUACAUUUCUUAGUUCACGCUACAUUUCUUAGUUCCCUGACCGGGAAGUGAGGUGAUUAACGGAUGGUCAAGGCAGCCCCUUAGGCAGCUUAGGCCUGUCCUGUGGAGCAUCCCUGUGGGGGACUCCAGCCCUGUGACACGGAUCCUGAGAGCACUCCCAGUAGGCCAUCGCCCAGGUGGAAUGCUUUGCCAGAGCAGUGCGCGGCAGACCCCCAUGGAGGAUUAACACAGCGGCUGAACACUGGGAAGGAAUCCGUGCUUGGAGUCCUGACAUCUGGAACAUGGUGUCUGAGCUGCUCUGGCCUCCAGAUUUGACUUCAUUCCCAAACGAAAAGGAAGAAGGGAAAGAGAUGCUCCAUUCACCGGUUGUAUGUAUGGGGCCUCUACAGCAGGAGACUGUGAAGUAAAAGUUGAAAUUGAUUGACUGGUUGUUUAUGAAGAGCUAAUGAAAACCUGACUGAGAAUAGGUUGGUACACGGGUCUCUGUCUCUGCUGCACUGUGGUUUUCAAGGUUUCCUGGACUUGGGAGGAGG